CCUCACCUGCUUGUAGAGCUCGAAAUGCGUGAGCGGGAGCUCCACGGCCUCCCGCACCUCCUGCUUCUGGAUGUCCAUGCCUCCUGCCCUCCCUGUCUUCCCACAAACCUACUCCUCUACCCAUGGUGCCAUCUCAGGGAAAGCCACACUAUCCGAACUCCCCCAGGUCAAAGAUAAAGGCCUCAUCCUGGAUACCACCCUCUCCUCACUUCCUCAUAGCCCACCAGUCCAAUUCCAGGCACAAUCGCACACCUUUCUCCAAAACCUUUACAAGAACAUGGCUUGGUCCAGAGGAGCAGAGCCCAGAAACAAGAAAAAACAGAUAAGAUGCCAGUGACAAUGACUAUCAAGAGGGCAAGGCCUAGACCUAUAUA
rnacentral:lncRNA from 1 species